CGGGCGGCCGGGGGCCGGCGGCGGGGCGGCGCGGCGAGCACCGGGAUGGGAGCGGCAGCCGCCGUGCUGCUGGGCCGCGCGCGCCCUCCCCUCGUCGGCAGCGCUGCGCUGGAGGCGGCGGCGGCGGCGGCUAAGAUGGCGGCGGCGCUCUCUCUCGGGACUGCAGAGCCUGGGGCCUCAGAGCUCCAGCACCCGGCCACUUCAUCCAAGCGGUGUCACCUCCAAGUACCUCAGUGACCUCCUCUGCAGAGUGGAGUCCCUACCUCUAGACCACGCCCCAGCGCUCCUCCCAACCAAAGAUGCCAGCAGACGACGUUGCUGACACGGGAGACUUCCUAGUGCCACCUCAGCUGCUCUCCGA